rnacentral:lncRNA from 1 species
AGUUCAGGCGGAGGGUCGAAACGCCACGCACGAGUCCUCAUGCCGGCGGGCGCAGAGCGGGGCGCCAAGGGCUGCCCGCGGGGUGCACCUCUAGUCCACCAAGUCCUCUUUGCGGCGGGGAUCGGGGCGCGCCGGGGGAGCCGCCCUUCGCCCCCGAGGUCUGGGCGCGCAGGAGGUAUAGGACUCUGGGAUUUUUUGGCCAAAACUCCGGCUCGGGGUCCCCGCCGCCUGGAGCGGGAAAGUUGCGCGUUGGAGAAACAAACUUUUCCGUCCCCAGGGCAGCGCGGGGAGCUCGCGGACAGGUCCUCUGGCAGCAGAGAGGGAGCGGUGCAGAGGACCGGGGACUGAGGAAGGAGGAGUGCGGGACCGCUCCCCGAAGGUGCCUCCUGCCGAGGCCACCGAGGCCGUCCUGGAGAUGGCGUCGGCUCCUGAGUCUGCGGCGCCAAAGUGCUCCCAGGUGGCGCGGAGCGAAGGGGGUUUAAAUUUCUCCCUCCUCGCAAACGUCCCCUUGCUUCGGGCCGGAGAGUAUUGCGCCCAGACACCUCUCGAGGAAGGGAGAUUGGACUUUCCCAGAUUGGAGGGAAAUUUAGAGCUGGCAUUUACAGUUAUUGUAAAAGAAAAAAAAGUGUUUUGAGGAGAAGAGGUGAAGGGUAGGAGAGGAGAAGUGUUAAAAUUUCGACCAAACCACGAGAAACCUCACUUGUUUUAAGUUCGUGACAGUUUAUUGGCUUUCCCUAAAUGUCCUCAGAUUAGCCUGACAGCUCCUUACCUAAAAAUAUCGAGUAAAAGCCCCCAAACCAGAAGCAGUUAAACGGUGUCACUGAAUUCAAUCUCAGAGCGAUUAUGGAGUUAAUUCACAUAAUAAGCAAAUCACAGAGUUGACAGAUUAUUAUAUGAACACGGACAAAUUGUUACAUAAAAUAUUUUGAUACUGAUUGUUUUAUUAGUAAUGUUAAGCCCCUUUAUGUCUGUUUCUUUUUCCCGGGAUUGACAUGUUAUACAAUGCUCACUGCUA